rnacentral:rRNA from 1 species
UACGAAGGGGGCUAGCGUUGUUCGGAAUUACUGGGCGUAAAGCGCACGUAGGCGGACAUUUAAGUCAGGGGUGAAAUCCCGGGGCUCAACCCCGGAACUGCCUUUGAUACUGGGUGUCUAGAGUAUGGAAGAGGUGAGUGGAAUUCCGAGUGUAGAGGUGAAAUUCGUAGAUAUUCGGAGGAACACCAGUGGCGAAGGCGGCUCACUGGCCCAUAACUGACGCUGAGGCACGAAAGCGUGGGGAGCAAACAGG